GGGACCGUAGCUCAGCCUGGUCAGAGCACUCGGCUCAUAACCGAGGGGUCAAGGGUUCAAAUCCCUUCGGUCCCACCA
rnacentral:tRNA from 1 species